rnacentral:rRNA from 1 species
GGUACAAAGAGAAGCCAACUCGCGAGAGCGCGCCAAUCUCAAAAAGCCCAUCCUCAGUUCGGAUUGGAGUCUGCAACUCGACUCCAUGAAGUUGGAAUCGCUAGUAAUCGCAGGUCAGCAUACUCGCGGUCGAUCGUUCCGGCCUU